rnacentral:rRNA from 1 species
UACGUAGGGGGCUAGCGUUGUCCGGAAUCAUUGGGCGUAAAGCGCGUGUAGGCGGUCCGGUAAGUCCGCUGUGAAAGUCGGGGGCUCAACCCUCGAAUGCCGGUGGAUACUGUCGGGCUAGAGUGCGGAAGAGGCGAGUGGAAUUCCUGGUGUAACGGUGAAAUGCGCAGAUAUCAGGAGGAACACCUAUUGCGAAGGCAGCUCGCUGGGACGUAACUGACGCUGAGACGCGAAAGCGUGGGGAGCAAACAGG